CACGUAAGGGGCAAGCGUUGUUCGGAAUUAUUGGGCGUAAAGGGCGCGUAGGCUGUCUGGUAAGCCUGGUGUGAAAUCCCGGGGCUCAACCCCGGAAUUGCAUUGGGAACUGCUGGACUUGAGUCAUGGAAGGGAAGUUAGAAUUCCAGGUGUAGGGGUGAAAUCUGUAGAUAUCUGGAAGAAUACCGGUGGCGAAGGCGAACUUCUGGCCAAUGACUGACGCUGAGGCGCGAAAGUGCGGGGAG
rnacentral:rRNA from 1 species